rnacentral:tRNA from 1 species
UGUCUUCCAGGUCGGCGAUUUCGGCCUCGAUCUUGGCGAGGUCGUCGACGAUGCGCUGGCGUUCCAGGGCCGCCAGGCGACGC